UACGUAGGGGGCAAGCGUUGUCCGGAUUUAUUGGGCGUAAAGAGCGUGUAGGCGGCCAGGUAGGUCUGCUGUGAAAACUCGAGGCUUAACCUCGAGCUGUCGGCGGAAACCAUCUGGCUAGAGUCCGGAAGAGGAGAAUGGAAUUCCCGGUGUAGCGGUGAAAUGCGCAGAUAUCGGGAAGAACACCCGUGGCGAAGGCGGUUCUCUGGGACGGUACUGACACUGAGGGACGAAAGCUAGGGGAGCGAAAGGG
rnacentral:rRNA from 1 species